rnacentral:rRNA from 1 species
AGAGUUUGAUCCUGGCUCAGAUUGAACGCUGGCGGCAUGCCUUACACAUGCAAGUCGAACGGCAGCACGGGGGCAACCCUGGUGGCGAGUGGCGAACGGGUGAGUAAUAUAUCGGAACGUACCCUAGAGUGGGGGAUAACGUAGCGAAAGUUACGCUAAUACCGCAUACGAUCUACGGAUGAAAGUGGGGGCUCGCAAGACCUCAUGCUCAUGGAGCGGCCGAUAUCUGAUUAGCUAGUUGGUAGGGUAAAGGCCUACCAAGGCGACGAUGGUUAGCUGGUCUGAGAGGAUGAUCAGCCACACUGGAACUGAGACACGGUCCAGACUCCUACGGGAGGCAGCAGUGGGGAAUUUUGCGCAAUGGGGGAAACCCUGACGCAGCAACGCCGCGUGAGUGAUGAAGGCCCUUGGGUCGUAAAGCUCUGACAGAGGGAAAGAAAUGCAGGGGAGCUAAUAUCUCCCUUGCUUGACGGUACCCUCAAAGGAAGCACCGGCUAACUCCGUGCCAGCAGCCGCGGUAAUACGGGGGGUGCAAGCGUUGUUCGGAUUUAUUGGGCGUAAAGCGCGUGUAGGCGGUUUUAUAAGUCUGAUGUGAAAGCCCUGGGCUCAACCCGGGAAGUGCAUUGGAUACUGUAAGACUUGAAUACGGGAGAGGGUAGUGGAAUUCCUAGUGUAGGAGUGAAAUCCGUAGAUAUUAGGAGGAACACCGGUGGCGAAGGCGGCUACCUGGACCGAUAUUGACGCUGAGACGCGAAAGCGUGGGUAGCAAACAGGAUUAGAUACCCUGGUAGUCC